rnacentral:rRNA from 1 species
GACGAACGCUGGCGGCGUGCUUAACACAUGCAAGUCGAACGGAAAGGCCCUGCUUUUGUGGGGUGCUCGAGUGGCGAACGGGUGAGUAACACGUGAGUAACCUGCCCUUGACUUUGGGAUAACUUCAGGAAACUGGGGCUAAUACCGGAUAGGAGCUCCUGCUGCAUGGUGGGGGUUGGAAAGUUUCGGCGGUUGGGGAUGGACUCGCGGCUUAUCAGCUUGUUGGUGGGGUAGUGGCUUACCAAGGCGUUGACGGGUAGCCGGCCUGAGAGGGUGACCGGCGACACUAGAAGGGAGACAGGGUCCAGAGGACUACGGGAGGCAGCAGGGGGCAAUAUGGGACAGUGGUCGCAAGUCUGGCACAGCGGUACGGCGUGGGUGAAGACGGCCCUCGGGUGGUGAAGCCGUCUUGUUGGGAAAGAAAAGCAGCAGGUUAAUACCCCGCUGGUCUGACGGUACCCAAAGAAUAAGCACCGGCUAACUUCGUG